CCUCGCUCUCUUUCGGCCACUGGAGCUUACCGUUGUAUCGGAAGCCUCAAACCGCCUGCAGUUGGGGCUGGAAUCACACUCUGAAGACACAGGCUGCCUGACUUCCGCUCUGAGUCAUAACGAAAGGGAGAAGUCCUGAUAAGGGCGUCUGUAUUCAGCAGAACUUGAAACCUACACAUAAUUUUUGCUGGUGGGUUACCGGAGGCCAUUCCCCUAACCCUUCACUGUUGACCAAACCCGACCUUUGACGUGUAUAUUUGCUGUCCUGAAGGCCAAUGUGUUUUCCAGUGAAUAAAAGCCGUGGGUCCCGAGAUUCGGGGAGCUUAGUCCCGAGAGCUCAGUCCCCGCCGGGCUCCCCAAAUGCCCCCGGAUUUAUCUUCCGUCCGGUGUUAUUCCUUUACCCGCAGCCCCUUCCCAGACCCUGAAGAGUCCUCGCGGCAGCUCUGAGCAUUUCGCCCUAAGGCCUCCUCUCACUGCCAGAGGCCUGGGACCAUCUCAGCGGCUGUGCAGGAAAAGCUAUAAGUUCUGUGCGGACCAAUUCUGCCGCGAUGUGUGCGGUUUGAUGAGAGACUGUGAUCUGAGAGUGAGCCGCACACACUGAGGCGUCACCUUAAAGCAUUUUGUUGGGGGACAGUUUGCGCGGAGAGCAGCUCAGAUCCUGUUUCUGAGGCAGCGGCCUGUCCAGGAGCCCGGCUGGUGGAGGCGGCAGGUCCCGAAGCU